CAUUCCAAAGAUGAAAAAUAUGAUUCAAAAGAGUGAAUGAAGUCUGCAACUGUUUCUCCAUGAGGUAUAUCAAAGGAGACAAUGUCAAUCCCCACAAGACAUAAAGGUUCAGAUGCAAUGGCGACAUAGUCGCCAUGAUGAGAGACAUUGAAAUUAAAAUUUGGGAAUGUAAUACCCAAUUUAUCAUAGACAAUGUCAAUCCCCACAAGACAUAAAGGUUCAGAUGCAAUGGCGACAUAGUCGCCAUGAUGAGAGACAUUGAAAUUAAAAUUUGGGAAUGUAAUACCCAAUUUAUCAUAAUCCUGAAAUAAA
rnacentral:lncRNA from 1 species